rnacentral:rRNA from 1 species
UACGGAGGGUGCUAGCGUUGUUCGGAAUUACUGGGCGUAAAGGGCGCGUAGGCGGCCGUUUGCGUCGGAUGUGAAAGCCCGGGGCUCAACCUCGGAACGGCAUUCGAUACGGGACGGCUGGAGACCGGGAGAGGAGAGUGGAAUAGCCAGUGUAGAGGUGAAAUUCGUAGAUAUUGGCUGGAACACCGGUGGCGAAAGCGGCUCUCUGGCCCGGUUCUGACGCUGAGGCACGAAAGCGUGGGGAGCAAACAGG